GACGAACGCUGGCGGCGUGCCUAAUACAUGCAAGUAGGACGCAGUUGCGAACGGGGGAGUAACGCGUAGGUAACUACCUAGUAGAGGGGGAUAACUAUGGGAAACGAUAGCUAAUACCGCAUACUAGUAGAUGGACCUGCGGUGUAUUGGCUAGUAUGUAGGGGAAUUGUCUACCUAGGCAACGAUACAUAGCCGACGUGGAGGGGUGGUCGGCCAAAAUUGGAAUUGGACCCGGGCCAGACUCCUACGGGAAGGAGCCGUAGGGAAUCUUUGGCAAUGGGGGGAACCCUGACCGCGCCACGCCGCGUGGGUGAAGGAGGUUUUUGGAUCUUAAAGCUCUGUUGUUAAGGAAGCGGUACUUAACCAGAAAGGGACGGCUAACUACGUGCCAGCAGCCGCGGUAAUAC
rnacentral:rRNA from 1 species